GAAUCCCGUCCUUGACAUGGACUACCAGUGCUUUGUGAUAUGUUUUCAACGAGUCGAGUUGUUUGGGAAUGCAGCUCAAAAUGGGUGGUAAAUUCCAUCUAAAGCUAAAUAUUGGCGAGAGACCGAUAGCGAACAAGUACCGUGAGGGAAAGAUGAAAAGCACUUUGGAAAGAGAGUUAAACAGUAUGUGAAAUUGUUGAAAGGGAAACGCUUGAAGUCAGUCGCGUCGACCGAGACUCAGCCUUGCCUCGGCUCGGUGUACUUCUCGGCCGACGGGUCAGCAUCAAUUUUGCCCCUCGGAUAAUGGCGAGAGAAAGGUGGCACCCUCACGGGUGUGUUAUAGUCUCCCGUCGGAUGCGAGGGUCGGGAUUGAGGAACUCGGCACGUACCGUGCUUAGGAUGUUGGCAUAAUGGCUUUAAACGACCCGUCUUGAAACACGGACCAAGGAGUCUAACAUGCCCGCGAGUGUUCGGGUGGAAAACCCGUGCGCGUAAUGAAAGUAAAAGUUGGGACCCCUGUCGUGGGGGGCACCGACGCCCGGACCAGACCUUCUGUGACGGAUCUGCGGUAGAGCGUGCAUGUUGGGACCCGAAAGAUGGUGAACUAUGCCUGAAUAGGGUGAAGCCAGAGGAAACUCUGGUGGAGGCUCGUAGCGAUUCUGACGUGCAAAUCGAUCGUCAAAUUUGGGUAUAGGGGCGAAAGACUAAUCGAACCAUCUAGUAGCUGGGUUCCUGCC
rnacentral:rRNA from 1 species